rnacentral:rRNA from 1 species
GCAGCCGCGGUAAUACGAAGGGACCUAGCGUAAUUCGGAAUUACUGGGCGUAAAGCGCGCGUAGGCGGUUAAGUAAGUUAAUUGUGAAAGCCCAAAGCUCAACUUUGGAAUUGCAAUUAAAACUACUUAGCUAGAGUUUAUCAGAGGAAAGCGGAAUACAUAGUGUAGAGGUGAAAUUCGUAAAUAUUAUGUAGAACACCAGUUGCGAAGGCGGCUUUCUGGGAUAAUACUGACGCUGAGGUGCGAAAGUAUGGGUAGCGAAGAGGAUUAGAUACCCUCGUAGUCCAUACUGUAAACGAUGAUUGUUAGAUGUUGGAAAUUUAUUUUCAGUAUCACAGCUAACGCGUUAAACAAUCCGCCUGGGGAGUACGACCGCAAGGUUAAAACUCAAAUGAAUUGACGGGGACCCGCACAAGCGGUGGAGCAUGUGGUUUAAUUCGAAGCUACGCGCAGAACCUUACCAACACUUGACAUGUCUGUCGCGGAAUCCAGAGAUGGAUUCUUUCGGUUCGGCCGGACAGAACACAGGUGCUGCAUGGCUGUCGUCAGCUCGUGUCGUGAGAUGUUGGGUUAAGUCCCGCAACGAGCGCAACCCCUACUUCUAGUUGCCAUCAGGUUAAGCUGGGCACUCUAGUAGGACUGCCUGUGAUAAGCAGGAGGAAGGUUGGGAUGACGUCAAGUCCUCAUGGCCCUUACGUGUUGGGCUACACACGUGCUACAAUGGCAGUGACAAUGAGAUGCUAAACGGCGACGUUAAGCUAAACUCAAAAACCUGCCUCAGUUCGGAUUGCACUCUGCAACUCGAGUGCAUGAAGCUGGAAUCGCUAGUAAUCGCUCAUCAGCGCGGAGCGGUGAAUACGUUCCCGGGUCUUGUACACACCGCCCGUCACACCAUGGAAGUUGGUUUUACCUUAAGGCAUGUCACUAACCUUCGGGAAGUGCGUGACCACGGUAUGAUCGGCGACUGGGGUGAAGUCGUAACAAGGUAGCCGUAGGGGAACCUGCGGCUG